AUCCAAAGUGUUGAGUUCAGCACAGGGAAGCUCCCCUGUUCUGUUAAUUAACUUUGGAACAUUAAGAACGGCCGGGGAAAUGAGGAUGGAAAAGAACUUCUGUCCAUUUUGUCACCCAGCCUACAAUC
rnacentral:snoRNA from 1 species